AGUCGCCUACGGGGGGCAGCAGUAGGGAAUCUUCCACAAUGGACGAAAGUCUGAUGGAGCAACGCCGCGUGAGUGAAGAAGGGUUUCGGCUCGUAAAGCUCUGUUGGUAGUGAAGAAAGAUAGAGGGAGUAACUGGCCUUUAUUUGACGGUAAUUACUUAGAAAGUCACGGCUAACUACGUGCCAGCAGCCGCGGUAAUACGUAGGUGGCCAGCGUUUUCCGGAUUUAUU
rnacentral:rRNA from 1 species